rnacentral:rRNA from 1 species
AACGAACGCUGGCGGCGUGCCUAACACAUGCAAGUCGAGCGAGAAAGUCCGCAAGGAUGAGUACAGCGGCGCACGGGUGCGUAACACGUGGGUAAUCUGCCCUGGAGCCCGGAAUACCCUCCCGAAAGGGAAGCUAAUGCCGGAUAAGACCACGGGAGCUUCGGCUCCUGCGGGAAAAGGUGGCCUCUGUACACAAGCUAUCACUCCUGGAUGAGCCUGGGGCCCAUCCGCUAGUUGGCGGGGUAACGGCCCACCAAGGCUACGACGGGUAGCUGGUCUGAGAGGACGAUCAGCCACACUGGAACUGAGACACGGUCCAGACUCCUACGGGAGGCAGCAGUGGGGAAUCUUGCGCAAUGGGCGAAGGCCUGACGCAGCAACGCCGCGUGUGUGAUGAAGGUCUUCGGAUCGUAAAGCACUGUCGGGAGGAAAGAACAAGCCUGUGGCUAACAUCCACGGGCCUUGACGGUACCUCCAAAGGAAGCACCGGCUAACUCUGUGCCAGCCGCCGCGGUAAAAC